rnacentral:rRNA from 1 species
UACUCAGUUCGGAUUGAAGGCUGAAAUUCGCCUUCAUGAAGCUGGAAUUGCUGUAAUGGCAGGUCAGCAUACUGCCGUGAAUACGUUCCCGGGCCUUGUACACACCGCCCGUCACACCAUGAGAGUUGGAGAUACCCGAAGCCUGUGAGCUAACAAACGAGGCAGCAGUCGAAGGUAGAAUCAAUGAUUGGGGUGAAGUCGUAACAAGGUAUC